rnacentral:lncRNA from 1 species
UUUGUUCCUUGCGUGAGUUUGAUGACUUAUCCUUCGAUGACUUGGAUGAGUCAGAUAAGAAUUUUAGAGUUGGCUUGAUGUUUUUAGGCUGAGUCCUGAUUCUAUUAGAAGAUGCAGGCUACGGACCUUACCCAUUAUCCAUCCACAAGGCUCUAGAUCAUAUUCAGCUUCAUUUUUUUUUUUUUUAAAUGCAAAGUUGCAAGCAUUAACUUUUUUUCAAUUUGAUGUCAAUGUGGUGCCAUGUAGGUGCUCCGUAUUCUUAAUCCUUCAAAAAAAAUUCUAUUUACCUUUUGGUAUAAUUUUAUUUUACUAAUGGAGGAUCAUUUGGAUCUUAUAAGUAUGUUAUGCGCACAUUUCCAUGCGCUCAAACAGACUCUUUGAAUGGAAUAUAUGGGGAUCUGUGAUCCUUCAAACAUCCUCUUUGCAGCUUAAAAGCAUUCUCUCUCUCAUCUCUGCCAACGGGAAAAAACAAAGGGCUCAACACUUCUCUCAAAGCUCCGGUAAAAGCAGAUAAAAGUUAAAACAAAAACGGGACCAGACGUGGUCUUAAGCGAACAUUACCAAUCCCCACAUGGCUCUUUUUGGCCUUGUGGGACUAAAAGCACAGCUAAGAAACUGCAAUAACGUGCUUUGUAUUUUGUGGAAUUCCAAGUUAUAUCAACAUAUUGUCAGAAAUUCAAAUAGAAUGGUCCUAUAAUAUGGUUAUUGAACACAGGAUGGGAUCCCGGCCA